rnacentral:hammerhead_ribozyme from 1 species
AUCCAAUUGACGAGUCCCAAAUAGGAUGAAACGCGUGUCCUUGAU